UCAAGGCCGAGAGCUGAUGACGAGUGCUCUUUAGAGCGCGAAGUGGUUGAUGCCAUGCUUCCAAGAAAAGCUCCUAAGCUUCAGAUAACUGGGAACCGUACCCCAAACCGACACAGGUGGUUAGGUAGAGAAUACCAAGGCGCUUGAGAGAACUCGGGUGAAGGAACUAGGCAAAAUGGCACCGUAACUUCGGGAGAAGGUGCGCCGGUGAGGGUGAAGCACUUGCUGCGUAAGCCCACGCCGGUCGAAGAUACCAGGCCGCUGCGACUGUUUAUUAAAAACACAGCACUCUGCAAACACGAAAGUGGACGUAUAGGGUGUGACGCCUGCCCGGUGCCGGAAGGUUAAUUGAUGGGGUUAGCGCAAGCGAAGCUCUUGAUCGAAGCCCCGGUAAACGGCGGCCGUAACUAUAACGGUCCUAAGGUAGCGAAAUUCCUUGUCGGGUAAGUUCCGACCUGCACGAAUGGCGUAACGAUGGCGGCGCUGUCUCCACCCGAGACUCAGUGAAAUUGAAAUCGCUGUGAAGAUGCAGUGUAUCCGCGGCUAGACGGAAAGACCCCGUGAACCUUUACUAUAGCUUUGCACUGGACUUUGAGCUUGCUUGUGUAGGAUAGGUGGGAGGCUUUGAAGUGGGGACGCCAGUUCUCAUGGAGCCAUCCUUGAAAUACCACCCUGGCAACCUUGAGGUUCUAACUCAGGUCCGUUAUCCGGAUCGAGGACAGUGUAUGGUGGGUAGUUUGACUGGGGCGGUCUCCUCCCAAAGAGUAACGGAGGAGUACGAAGGUGCGCUCAGACCGGUCGGAAAUCGGUCGUAGAGUAUAAAGGCAAAAGCGCGCUUGACUGCGAGACACACACGUCGAGCAGGUACGAAAGUAGGUCUUAGUGAUCCGGUGGUUCUGUAUGGAAGGGCCAUCGCUCAACGGAUAAAAGGUACUCCGGGGAUAACAGGCUGAUACCGCCCAAGAGUUCAUAUCGACGGCGGUGUUUGGCACCUCGAUGUCGGCUCAUCACAUCCUGGGGCUGAAGCCGGUCCCAAGGGUAUGGCUGUUCGCCAUUUAAAGUGGUACGCGAGCUGGGUUUAGAACGUCGUGAGACAGUUCGGUCCCUAUCUGCCGUGGACGUUUGAGAUUUGAGAGGGGCUGCUCCUAGUACGAGAGGACCGGAGUGGACGAACCUCUGGUGUUCCGGUUGUCACGCCAGUGGCAUUGCCGGGUAGCUAUGUUCGGAAGAGAUAACCGCUGAAAGCAUCUAAGCGGGAAACUUGCCUCAAGAUGAGAUCUCACUGGAGCCUUGAGCUCCCUGAAGGGCCGUCGAAGACUACGACGUUGAUAGGUUGGGUGUGUAAGCGCUGUGAGGCGUUGAGCUAACCAAUACUAAUUGCCCGUGAGGCUUGACCAU
rnacentral:rRNA from 1 species